rnacentral:rRNA from 1 species
GGAAUUUUGGACAAUGGGCGAAAGCCUGAUCCAGCAAUGCCGCGUGAGUGAAGAAGGCCUUCGGGUUGUAAAGCUCUUUUGUCAGGGAAGAAACGGUGAAAGCUAAUAUCUUUUGCUAAUGACGGUACCUGAAGAAUAAGCACCGGCUAACUACGUGCCAGCAGCCGCGGUAAUACGUAGGGUGCAAGCGUUAAUCGGAAUUACUGGGCGUAAAGCGUGCGCAGGCGGUUUUGUAAGUCUGAUGUGAAAUCCCCGGGCUCAACCUGGGAAUUGCAUUUGUGACUGCAUAGCUAGAGUACGGUAGAGGGGGGUAGAAUUCCACGUGUAGCAGUGAAAUGCGUAGAUAUGUGGAGGAACACCGAUGGCGAAGGCAGCCCCCUGGGUCAAGAUUGACGCUCAUGCACGAAGGCGUGGGGAGCAAACAGGAUUAGAUACCCUAG